CGAUCUUGAGGCAGGAACUGAG
rnacentral:miRNA from 2 species